GAUCUUGAGCGCCUUCCCGAGUGGCAAUGCCUUUCCGAGAGCGGCCCGACUAGUCUCCUCCUGAAGCGUGGGGGUCCUUUGGGACUGCUAGGAGGGUAAAAUCCAUUUCAGGAUCGGAAAGGAAGGUAGUUGCUUGGGGGAAGAUACACGGGCUCCGGCUCUCUUUGGAAGCGCUCACACUACCAAGCCCUCCCGUGCAAAAUUCAGGAAGGAUGCGCUUUGGUCUUGGUGCAUCCUCCUCUAAUCCUAUUUCCAAAGUACAACCAGCAAAGGCUUGGUUGUUAAAAGAGUAUGGCAAUUCAUGGCAAAAGAAAAAAAAAUGUGCUGGAAGACAAGAGGAUGCCAAGGAAACAGACGGAGCCGCUCUUUCCUAAGCUUAUUAAUUUCCCACAGGGAGAGUUCUGGAAGAGGCUGUGAGGGUUGGGGGAAGCAGAGACUGGAACAUCAAGGAUCUGCCAUAUCUGCAUUCGCCAACCUCACUCUCCAGAAUAAGGAACUUUAUAGGGGGCACACUUGACUGAUUACUUGUACAUGAAAGAGUAAUAACAAUGAUGGGUUUUGGGUAGGAGAAAACACCAGUCCUCUGCACAAAUGUUGUUCAGAGGAUUGUUAACUUGGUUCCUAUCACUUUGCCUUUAUCAUGAGAGUGGAUACAAGGUGGGUUUAAAAGAGAGUGGGAGGU